GUAAAGAAUUACAUUAAAAUGGGCCCAGCCUGACUCCAGACUUUCUCAGACUGGGAGCACCUGGCAGCAGCCAGCGAGCCAGGCCCUGUGGGCCUUCUCCAACCCAGAAGAGCUUUUCUGUGUUUAUUUGAAUGAACUGCGUGUUAUACAACAUCUGCAAACAGGACAAACGAAUUAAGUCUCUUCAGGUCAUUUUAUGAAGGGACACGGAGCAGGACUGGGGGUGAUGGAGACGUCAUCACAGCCAUUCACCAGGAAAACGCCGCCGUCCUGCCCAGCAGGCACUCUCUCUGGAGGGGUUGUGAAAAUAGGAAGAUUGGAUGACCUGAGCAGGAAUCCGGGCUCCGCCACUCUCUGAAUUGGACAUGAUGAGGUUACAAGAAGUAAACCCGAAGAGGGUCCUCCCCAGAACCUGACCACCCUGUCACCCUGACCUCGGACUUCAAGCCUCCA